AGCCAGUUCCUGAAGAACUACAGAAUGGUGAAGGAUUUGGGUAUGUUGUUGCUUUCCGCCCUCUUGGGGUUACCAACUGGAUCCAGACAGUGGUGACAUCCCCUGACACCCCAAGAUAUGUCUUUAGGAAUGAAAGCAUCGUGCCAUUUUCACCAUAUGAAGUUAAAGUGGGUGUUUAUAAUAACAAAGGUGAAGGACCAUUUAGCCCAGUGACAACAGUGUUCUCUGCAGAAGAAGAGCCUACAGUAGCCCCAUCUCAUGUCUCUGCAAAUAGCCUAUCUUCCUCAGAAAUUGAAGUUUCAUGGAACACCAUUCCUUGGAAAUUGAGCAAUGGACAUUUACUAGGCUAUGAGGUGAUUUCUUUUAUGCACGCAUGUAUGUUACCAUGCUACUUUGUCUCCUUUCGUUUACAAUUUUUCUUAACAACAACAUCCUAGGUGAAGUCUGUCUUUAGCUGAAAUUUUCUUAUCAGCUCAUUGUUUCAUCUGAUUAUCAAUGGAUACUGAAUUUAACUCAACCAGUUGAAUGAAAAUAAAUUUAGUUGGAGUAGAAAAGCAAAAAAAAAA